rnacentral:snRNA from 3 species
AGCUUUGCGCAGUGGCAGUAUCGUAGCCAAUGAGGUUUAUCCGAGGCGCGAUUAUUGCAAAAAUAAGUAUACCACUAGAUCUGAAGUUGUGAAUAAUUGGAUGAAGAUUCAGCUG